rnacentral:misc_RNA from 1 species
AGAUCAUUGACAUGUCCUUGCGAAGAACAAAAUGACCAUAGAACGAACAACAAACUACUAAGAUUAUGUUAUAUAUAAUUGAAAACCAACCAUAAAAUAUGAGGAUAUGCAUGCUCUAUAUAAAUAACCUUCUUACUAUCUUCAUCAGAAGUUCUAUAUUAAACUCAAGCACAUAAACUACUGAAAAUUUUGGAACUUCAUGUCAAACAAUACCAACAUAUCUA